ACCGAACAGCAUACAUGCCUACUCUGUCUAAAUGCAUAUGGCCAAAAGAUGUUCACUGUGAAACUAUGAUCAACACAGAUGUCAUCUGGAAAUUGCCCCUGGAUACCAUAUCCUGGUACCAAUCUCUAGCAUGAUUUGGAGACCAGAAUACCCAGUCAGUCAUCUGCUACAGAGAAACUGCAGGUGCAGCUGGAGGACUGGGUGGAGGAUGUCAGAGCAGGAGAAAGCAACUUUAUGUCAACCUCCUAAGGCCCUUGAUGUGGAAGGAACAAUCACUUACACACACACAAAUGAUCAUUGUGAUUCCCAACUACAAGGACCUGCGGUGUGGGAAAGGAAGUUCUGCAUGGAAUUUGAAAGCUGGAUUUACAAGAGCCCUGGGUUAUGCUGUAUAGGUGGUACCUAUACUCAGAGUUCACCUGUAGCAACAAUGAUGCCUCUCAUGUUCUCCAUAUCCAAUCAGCAAUCUAGAAGGAGUUGUUUGAAGCCUGCAGAAUGCUGAGGUUUGGACACAUUUCUGAGGGGAGUGGCUUCCUGGUACUCAUGUGGCAUGGCAGAGCCGCCAGACAGCUUGCAGACUGGCUCUGUGAGUGUCUUUUGAACACUGCCUAGUUUCAUAUCGCCUCUGAUCUCAGCAUCACCCCCUCACUUAACAGAAAAGAGUCAUAUGUCUAAGCUCAUUAAAAUGCCCACGUUCACAGAGUCUUUUCAGUGUUUGUGGUUUUACGCAACUGAAAGCAGUAAACCUGUUAAGAGAUCCAUAGAUCCAUGGCUAAGGUCAAGCAAUCACUCACAUGAUACUGUCAGGCAAGGUAGAACUGGUGAUUCAAAGGAACUAGGUAUUUCCUAAUUCAACUUGCUAAAGUGCGGAGUCCAAGCAUUAAGGCUAUUUGAUUCCCUUAACAAACUGGGAAUGAGAUAAAAUUGCCUUCUUUGAUCUUGUUGUCAUUUUAUUUCCUUACCUUGAUGAAUAGCUACAACUUCAAUCCCUCCAUUUUGUCUCAGUGUCCUCCAG
rnacentral:lncRNA from 1 species